rnacentral:rRNA from 1 species
AAUCAACGCUGGCGGCGUGCCUCAGACAUGCAAGUCGAACGAUUAAAGCUCCCUUCGGGGAGUGCAUAGAGUGGCGCACGGGUGAGUAACACGUAAGUAAUCUACCCUCGGGUGGGGAAUAACAACCGGAAACGGUUGCUAAUACCGCAUAAUGCAGCGGCACCGCAAGGUGACAGUUGUUAAAGGAGUAAUCCGCCUGGGGAGGAGCUUGCGGCAGAUUAGCUUGUUGGUAAGGUAACGGCUUACCAAGGCUACGAUCUGUAACCGGUCUAAGAGGACGGUCGGUCACACUGACACUGAAUAACGGGUCAGACUCCUACGGGAGGCAGCAGUCGGGAAUUUUGGGCAAUGGGCGAAAGCCUGACCCAGCAACGCCGCGUGAAGGAUGAAGUAUUUCGGUAUGUAAACUUCGAAAGAAUAGGAAGAAUUAAUGACGGUACUAUUUAUAAGGUCCGGCUAACUACGUGCCAGCAGCCGCAGUAACAC